rnacentral:rRNA from 1 species
UACGUAGGCAGCAAGCGUUGUUCGGAGUUACUGGGCGUAAAGGGUGUGUAGGCGGUUCUCUAAGUAGGGUGUGAAAGCCCCCGGCUCAACCGGGGAAUUGCGCCCUAAACUGGCGAGCUGGAGUGAGAUAGGGGUGUGUGGAACUUCCGGUGGAGCGGUGAAAUGUGUUGAUAUCGGAAGGAACGCCGGUGGCGAAAGCGACACACUGGAUCUUGUCUGACGCUGAGGCACGAAAGUCAGGGGAGCGAACGGG